UGGGGGAAUAUUGCACAAUGGGGGGAAACCCUGAUGCAGCAACGCCGCGUGAGCGAAGAAGUAUUUCGGUAUGUAAAGCUCUAUCAGCAGGGAAGAAAAUGACGGUACCUGACUAAGAAGCCCCGGCUAACUACGUGCCAGCAGCCGCGGUAAUACGUAGGGGGCGAGCGUUAUCCGGAAUUAUUGGGCGUAAAGGGUACGUAGGCGGUUCAGUAAGCAUGAGGUGAAAGGCAAUAGCUUAACUAUUGUAAGCCUUGUGAACUGUUGGACUUGAGUGCAGGAGAGGAAAGCGGAAUUCCUAGUGUAGCGGUGAAAUGCGUAGAUAUUAGGAGGAACACCAGUGGCGAAGGCGGCUUUCUGGACUGUAACUGACGCUGAGGUACGAAAGCGUGGGGAGCAAACAGGAUUAGAUACCCUGGUAGU
rnacentral:rRNA from 1 species